GACCAUUGGACUCUCAAGGGAGUGUCGGUUAAACCGUUACCAUUACUUGUUUAAGUACUGGUAAGGGUUAUACUGCUGCUCCCAAACUCAUCUCAGCAGCCA
rnacentral:pre_miRNA from 17 species